GAUGGUCCUGCUUUGAGCACGAGGUUGGACUAGAUGACCUCCUGAAGUUCCUUCCCACCCUAAUUGUCUAUUUAUAGAUUCUGUGAUUCUAAUACCCAGACAUUACAGUGAUCUGGAUAAUAAAACUUCAUUGGAAAAAACAGUUUCCACCACUCCUGAUGGGUGCUUAACAGCUGAAUUCUUUUGCUGCAACUGAAUAAUUUCCUACUCUGAGGUGGUAAAUAAAGAUACCUCAGUAUAGCCAUCUGUAUGGAACUUGGGAGGAGGAGCACAGAUUUUAGGUGGGAAAUAUUUGGAAGAGCUGCAGGAAGUCAGUUUGUGUGCACAAGGCUUGAACAUGAACUGCAGUUUCAUUCUUUUUUUUCAGAAUAGUUUUCUUAUUAAAGAACCAGUUUAGUUUUAAAGACAGCUCUCAUGUGACUACCCACCACAGUGUACAGGAAACAUGGUGGCAGCAAUAAGGCCAGUGAGACUCACACUGCGGAAGAACGUGAUAUUCACAAAAUUAUUCCCAGACAAGAAACAGUGCUGUCAUCCUUCAGGGUCUCAGGUUUCCAGGAAUGCUGGUUUUCCAGAAAUAAAACUUGUACAAGCAUGGAAGUAGUGCAAAAAAGAGACCUUACCAGGGGAGAUAAAAAUGAAGGUAAUGUCUUUUUUCUAUCUCCCUGGGGGAAAAAGGAUGAGAAAUGAGUGAGACAGUUGCCAGGAAUAUUGCCUGAAACAGGAAAAUCUGAUAACGGUGUUUGAUGAAUAUCAUGACCCCAAAUGUGACCCUUGACAGAAUGAGAUUGUGGAGAGAGAGUUUUUCCGUUUUUUUAAAGAACUCAAAACCAAGAAACAGAAAUGGAAAUAGAUAUCUGUUCCAUUGCUGAGAAAUCUGGCAUUCACAUGAAACUCUGGACACUUUAAAGAUUCCUUGAUUAAUGAUGGUAUUAUUAGUGGGACACACAAUUCCCCCUUGCAGGAAAAACUAUUGAGAGAAAUAGAUCUAACUGUAGAGAUUGCCUCCAAGAACAAGAGCAGCUGAUCUGUCCAGGGAAAGGAACAAAAUAAUAAUAGCCAGUAGUGCAGAACAAAUGCACAGGCUCAAUUUAAAGGAGCCCAGGAAACAGAAUAGAAGAGAGAGAGAUUGACAUUGUGGUCUAGUGUGACUACAGUUUAAAGCAGCAUAAAAAGCUGAAAGAAAAGUGCCCAAUCUAUGGGCCAUGGUGUAAAGGGUGUGGGAAAUAGAACUAUUUUAUGUUCCAAUGCUGCAGCUACCCUUGAAAGAAAAAUCAAACAUACGUGCAACUGACAGAAGACAUAGAGCCUUUACGUGAAGAGGAGGGUGCUUGUCGUGUGACUUAGCUGAUCCCAAGGCUGUAAAAUAUAAAAGCACUGCAGAGAAAGGCUAUCAAAGGAUCAGCUGCCAUUUUUGCAUCUAUGAUGUUGGACCAACAACCAGUUCAGUUCCAGCAGGAUUGUAGUCCCAGCAGCACUGACCAUUAGCAACAUUAGUUGCUAAUUUUUGUGUAUUUAUGGCAGAUGUAUGGUAAAACCAUUCUGAGGCCUGUGAGCAAAUACAGUUUGUUGAUCAGAAACCCACAGAAUAAGUGAUGUUAUUGCUUGGGGCAGGGCCAGCCAUGGGUUUGAUUCCAGUGUAUCGCUGAAUAUCCUUAGUAUAAGAAAGGGGGGAAAACUGGCCAGCAGGACUGAUAUAAAAUAUAAGCACAUACUUCAGAGAUAUGGAUAAAUAGAGCAUAAGCUGAAAUUUGACAUAGACUCCAGCGUGUAGGCUGAGAGACAAGUGAGUUGUACUAGGAUAUUUCUAUAGUGUUUCUGCAACACUCUUGAGUGACUACCAAGCAUGCUGCACCCAUCCUCUCCCUCUCCAUAUGUGGAAUUGAAAAAGUAAAGCUAUUCACAGUUCUCAAGCAUGUUGCAGAUGAGAGAGCUGAAGACUUACACUUUGGCAGUGCCCCCCCAGGGUAGUUUCUCUGCCUAAUUUCUGAGUUUGGCAUAUGGAGAGUGGGAGUACGUAGGUGAAGGCAUGCCUUUCGGAAGCAGUUUAAACAUCAGUUGAGAAUUUGAGCCCAAGAUGGAGUUCAGCUUGAGUGACAUGCUGUCUCUUUGGACCUAUGGUGGACCUGACAGCAAAGCAUGCUGGGAUGCUGGAGGACUGUGCUGCAGCUUUUCUCAGAAGAUAUGUAUACUGAAGUUCUCUCUCCCAGGAAAAACUCUCCUGGGAGCCAUUUAACCCUGAUUGUUCCCACGUUAUUGGGAAUCACUAGACCAGUGAUUCUCAACCACAGUUAUGUCAGAUUCUUUGAAGGGUGAUGUGAGGCAUGAAGAAAAUAAGCAGACAAGUUAAGCAGACAAGGCAGGAUCAGGCUUAUCCCUGACUGAGCUAUUUCCAUCCCAGCCUCCAAGUAAGGAGGUAAGCAUUGUAAUUUAUAAGUUAGUUUUUGAAAUUGGGUGCCACUUAAGUCACAAAAUGUAUGGAAUGGUGUCUCAAGUCCAAUGGGGGGUGCCUUGUGUCCAAAAAGUUUGAGAACCACUGAUUUAGACUUUAUAAGUAGACUUGGAGUGAUGUUGUAGCUCUGGUGGUCUGGGAAAUAUACAAGAGGAAGGAUUUUUUUGGUGAUAUCUUUUAUCUGACCAACCUUGUAGCAAUUUCUCCCAGCUUUAUAUUUGGUCCAGGAAAAGAUAUCACCAAAAAAUCCCAUCUCUCUCAGAAUUUUCUAUGAAUUUUCUUUAAAGUAAAAUUGAAGCUGUUUGUUGAAUAAAAUGGAAGGGCAGCUAUGCGGUAUCAGUAUCAGUCUACUCGUGGACAAAUUUAGUAUAGUACUUUAUUUACUGAGAUUUAUACUACAAUCUCUGUUCCAAAAUACUGCCCAUCAAUCUAUGCUAGAGCUAGAAUUAUUUAAUAUAUUAAUGAUCUGUAAAGAGAUGAGGUAGUUAUGCAAUUGUACAUGAUUUAGCUUGUCACACAUAGAAAUAGUAUAAGGAAAUUCAGAAGGACAUAAAAAUGUAUGCAUAUUAGAGGAAAUUAUUUGAACUAUUCAUGUACAGUGAGAAGUUAAGAGUAGUUGAGAAAAAUGACUUGUUCUUCACCACCAGCAACACAAUGCAAAUAUGUACUCAAGGUAGAGAAGGAGUCCAAAAAAGUAAAUCUGAAAUUAAAAAAGUAUACUGAGUAUAAUACUGAAUAUGGGGAGCAGCAUAGUGGGAAUUGUCUACCUUAUCCAAGCCAAUAGCUGCCACGCACCCUAUGCUUUUGUCCCUUUUCUUCUGGCCCCACAUAUCUCACACAUGUGGUCCCCUCAUGCCAGCCAGGUAAGCCAACUUAAAAAGAAGUAGAGAAGGAUCUAUAUGUUCGCUGACUUAUGAUGCAGUGUUUAGAAUGCUGUACUGGGAAGUCAAAGAGACUCGGGUUCAGACUCCCUCUGGGUAGGUGGAGAGACCCUAGAACCAGGUCCUCCAGGAAUCCAGAUAAAUACCUUAGCUACUCUUGCAAGGAGACAAUGGGAAGCAGGAACCUGGUGCUAGCAAUGAUCUGCUCUACAGUUCAGCAUUUCUCUUCGGUGUUUGAUAGCAUCUCAGUCCAGGGUACAAAAAAUGCUAGAAGUGGCUCUGAUGGGAAGUCUCUCUUCUUUCUGAGUUUAAGUCUUCAUAAUCAUGGGCUUUGGUCAACUCCAGUUUGAAGCAUUUAAGGCCACUUUAUGUCCACAAGGGGCCUAUAGAUGUAUCCUAGGUGCUACAGUGCAUGCCCAGUCUCCAUGCUCAUGUAGUCAUCCAUGCACACAGAGCUACGUGUUCAGAAAUAGAGUUCUAGGUGCAUAAGUACCAAAAAUGCCAUGUCAAUGAAUAAAAAAUGGCCACUUAGGUGACCAGGAAGGGAACUGAAUAUCAGAACGAGCAAUUUGCUCAAGUCACACAACAAGUCUCAGGCAGGAAACCAAAACCUCAUUUCCCAAAUUCUAGAUGAGCACUCUUUCCACUAAUUAUUAUUAUUUAUAUAAAUAAUAAAUAUAACAUCCUCAGUAACACUAGCUAAGAUUACAGAUAUUUAAGGGGUAUCCAUUAUCAUGUUUCUGGACAUAAGCCAAACACUCACUGUUGGAGGAAAAGGGUACCAAAUGCCAGAUUGAGUAGACUAUUAGUUUGACAUGGCAUGACAGUUCCUAAGUGAGAAAUAAGCUUGUAAAGAAUUUAUCAGCAAGGAACUGGAAGAGUGAAUGAAAAUUCAGGCUUUAUAUGUUGAUCAUUGUGUUCAGACUAUUUUCAGUGGUAGUGAUUUUAAAAGGUGUUUUAUUGGAUACAAACUUCUUGCUAUAAUGCUCAGAACAUGAUUUUUUUUAUUUGUCUUGCAUUUUCUUUUUGCUUAAUUUUGGAAAUCUUAGAAUGUGAAGUUGGUAAAAAAAAAAAAAAAGUCAAAGGGAUUAAAUUUCUGUGUGUUGGUUUAGGAUAAAAGCAUCUUGCUUUAUGGGGCUAUAUUAUGAUGUGAUGACGGAUAAUUACCCUGCUUGCAGGAAACAAUAAAUAUACUACUAUAUGGUUGAGUUAA